rnacentral:lncRNA from 1 species
GCAGGACAUUUUUUCUUUUAGUGGUGACAGUAUCUCCAGGGAGAUCUACCUAAGAUUUCCUCAGCAUUCUGUGUCCAACUGUUUGCUCAGUGAGAUAAGAAAAGUGCUAUAGCUGUGAGUAAAUACUCCAGGCUUUAAGGAAAUCCUGAAGACUUGUUGCAGAAUUACACAAUGGGGGAUUUGGGAACUGAGCACACUUCUGCCAGCACUGACCAGGAUCAGAGGUUAUCAGAGAUGAAGGAGAGGAUGCUCAGCAGUGAUAAAUGAACCUGGCACUUCUGACCCUGACCUCCUACCAGGAGUGGACAAGGAGGGUCCUGGAGCUCAGGGAGAAACAACGAUAACAAGUGAUGUGCCAGAAAAGGUCAUAGAAUAAGAAUGGAGACUCUCGCUUGU